rnacentral:lncRNA from 1 species
GCCAAAAUCAAGAGUCGAACACUUAACCAACUGAGCCACCUAACCACCCCUCCCUCUGGAAAUGUGACGUUUAUCAGCGCAGAGCAAGAACUCAGGAAGGUGGUUCUAGACAAAGGGAGAUGGAGAAAGACGAAGAGGACCAAGAGGAACAGGAGGAGAAGGAGGAGAGUAAAAACCUGGAAACUAACCCAAGUCCCCAGCACCCGCCCAGCGCAGAAACACGUGCGCUUUUGCAGAGGACCUACAGCUAGAGAGGGGACAGCGGAGCUUGACAGGCAGAGGUUGGCAAGCCCCACAGUCCAGGGCCAAAGGAAGGGCCGCGGGCAGUGCAAGCAUUCUUGGAUGCACAAAACUGGGGGCAGGGUUCUACACUUGUACUACCAACCUGAAUUCCUUACUACCAAUCUAGAAUAUUAGUUGCUUUCGCAAGAGACGGGUUGGGUUUUUUACAGCGUGGAUCUGAGCACCCACGGUGUUCUGCAAACCUUGCCUGAAGCUCCCGCUCCUGAUCGCCCAGAGAAGCUUGGUGGGCUCCGCUUUCAGCGCGUUAUUGCAAAACCCCAGAGCAAGCAGCACCCCCCCCCCCCACCUAGCUAAUCGUUUCGUCUGAAUCGCCAGCCCGGCUCGUGGACUCUGGGUGCGAAGGGAGCCGAACCAGAGAGUCCCGUCCAUUAACUACCGACUUCUCGGCGGGGAGAGGCGCGCUCAGAGCCCACACGGCGAGGGGGACCACCGUCGCUUCCGUGCUGGGGCUGCCAGGGGCCCCGCGCUUUCUCCAGCCCUCCCUCUGAGUCCCUCGCCCUGGAGGAGCUUAGGGCGACAGCCCUGCACCGACUUCGGUGCAGCGACAGCCCGGCGGUGAGACGUUCUCGCCACACUUCUCCCAGGGCUCUGGGGGCUGGUGGGAGGUUUCGUG